AAGGGAAUAGAAGGGCGGGUAGAUCAAUGUGAUGAUAGCACCACGCCAGGCACCGAAGACGAAAGCGAAAUCGCGAGGGUGAGCUAACUCCAAAAACCCGUCCUCAGUUCGGAUUGCAGGCUGCAACUCGCCUGCAUGAAGCAGGAAUCGCUAGUAAUCGCCGGUCAGCCAUACGGCGGUGAAUCCGUUCCCGGGCCUUGUACA
rnacentral:ncRNA from 1 species